rnacentral:rRNA from 1 species
GAAAAGAACUUUGAAAAGAGAGUUAAAUAGUACGUGAAAUUGUUGAAAGGGAAACGAUUGAAGUCAGUCAUGCUAAUAGGGAAUCAACUUGAUGGGUCGUUCCCCCGGGAGCAAUCUUUCUUGUGCACUUCCUUGUUCAGCAGGUUAGCAUCAAUUUCGGUUGUCAUCAAAAAAUUGAGGGAAUGUAACUUCUUUCGGGAAGUGUUAUAGACCUUAGUAUAUGUGAUAACCGGGAUUGAGGAUUGCAGCGGAUGCUUUUGGGCUAGUCACCUACCUUCUGACGGUUACCCUGCUUUCGAUAGUUUGCUAACGAUUGUGGGAUAUAACAGUCCUAGAUGUUAGAGUGAUCUUAUAUUCGCUAAGGAUGCUGACGUAAUGGCUUUAAACGACCCGUCUUGAA